AGACCUCUGAUCAGAAAAGACUACCCGCUGAGUUUAAGCAUAUCACUAAGCGGAGGAGAAGAAACUAACCAGGAUUUCCCUAGUAACGGCGAGCGAACCGGAAAGAGCCCAGCUUGAAAAUCGCGGC
rnacentral:rRNA from 2 species